rnacentral:lncRNA from 1 species
AGACUCGCCCUUGGGUCCCUGUCUGACGAGCUCUAGGCAAUCUGCCCUCGUUCGGGACACAACCAUCGGUCUCACCCCUCAGUUUCUGCCAGAGAAAAAGGAAAAGUCACCGAGAGGCCUGACCCUGACGGGUGGGGGAGAUGCGCGUGCGGAGUAGCGGGAAGCGACUGAGGAGCGGGGAAUGGGCAGCAUUUGAAUGGAUGCGGGUGCCGCUGGCACCCGGGAAGACGCUGGGGGCCGGCGCUGUAGAGCCGGGCAUGGGCUGGGAUGUGUUUGGAUUCCAAUCCGGGCCUGACACCAGUUCAGUGACCUCGGGAAGUUCCCCAACCCUCCGGGCCUGUUUCCUCCCUCUGAAGUGGCGACAGUAGUAGAACCGACCUCGUAGGCUCAUCGGGAGGUCCUGAUGGGAGAACCCAUGCAACUUGCCACCAUAGAGCCAGGCCCGCGGCGGUUGGCGCCUGGUGGGUAUUAAAGACGAGUCGGGAAAGAAGAGCAGGUUGAUAGACUGGAUGCUGCUAUGGUAAUCUGCCUCAGGAAAAUGCCGGACUGUUGUUUGCAAGCUGGUUAAGUGAGCAAAUCUUGGGAAGAUUUCAAGUCAUGGAAUAAGGCCAUACCCUGUGGGUAGGGUAUAAAGGUUUCCCUCUAUAUAGUAGGUGUUCUUAUUAUCAGUCAUUCAAAGAAAAAGAGAAUCCUCACCAGAAAAUCUUGGAACAUAGAACAGAUGGAAGGUGGCACUUCUGGAUAUGCCUUUUUACAUCUGAACUUGGAAGAGUUAAGAAUUGUUGAAGGCCCUUCUCACUGAUCAGGGGAAAUAGCUUCUGUCACAGAGCUGCCUACUCCAGGAGAACCAAAAAUGAAAGUAAACACUCAUAUUUUGUAAGUCUGUUCCUCAACUUCCAUCAAUCAAGUUUAAUCUAAAUCAAGGAUUCAAACUGAGAAGCAUUUAAGGACCAAGAAAA